AGUGGCGAACGGGUGAGUAACACGUGAGUAACCUGCCCUUGACUCUGGGAUAAGCACUGGAAACGGUGUCUAAUACCGGAUAUUUCAACUGACCGCAUGGUCUGGUUGUGGAAAGAAUUUUGGUCAAGGAUGGACUCGCGGCCUAUCAGGUAGUUGGUGAGGUAAUGGCUCACCAAGCCUACGACGGGUAGCCGGCCUGAGAGGGUGACCGGCCACACUGGGACUGAGACACGGCCCAGACUCCUACGGGAGGCAGCAGUGGGGAAUAUUGCACAAUGGGCGAAAGCCUGAUGCAGCAACGCCGCGUGAGGGACGACGGCCUUCGGGUUGUAAACCUCUUUUAGUAGGGAAGAAGCGAAAGUGACGGUACCUGCAGAAAAAGCACCGGCUAACUACGUGCCAGCAGCCGCGGUAAUACGUAGGGUGCAAGCGUUGUCCGGAAUUAUUGGGCGUAAAGAGCUCGUAGGCGGUUUGUCGCGUCUGCUGUGAAAACUGGAGGCUCAACCUCCAGCCUGCAGUGGGUACGGGCAGACUAGAGUGCGGUAGGGGAGAUUGGAAUUCCUGGUGUAGCGGUGGAAUGCGCAGAUAUCAGGAGGAACACCGAUGGCGAAGGCAGAUCUCUGGGCCGUAACUGACGCUGAGGAGCGAAAGCAUGGGGAGCGAACAGGAUUAGAUACCCUGGUAGUCCAUGCCGUAAACGUUGGGAACUAGAUGUGGGGGCCAUUCCACGGUCUCCGUGUCGCAGCUAACGCAUUAAGUUCCCCGCCUGGGGAGUACGGCCGCAAGGCUAAAACUCAAAGGAAUUGACGGGGGCCCGCACAAGCGGCGGANCAUGCGGAUUAAUUCGAUGCAACGCGAAGAACCUUACCAAGGCUUGACAUAU
rnacentral:rRNA from 1 species